rnacentral:rRNA from 1 species
GACGAACGCUGGCGGCGUGCCUAAUACAUGCAAGUAGGACGCAGUUGCGAACGGGUGAGUAACGCGUAGGUAACUACCUAUUAGAGGGGGAUAACUAUUGGAAACGAUAGCUAAUACCGCAUACUAGUAGAUGGACCUGCGUUGUAUUAGCUAGUAGGUAGGGUAAUGGGCUACCUAGGCAACGAUACAUAGCCGACGUGAGAGGGGGGUUUUCCACACAGGGACUGAGACACGGCCCGGUCUCCUACGGGGAGGAGAAGUAGGGAAUCGUCGGCAAGGGGGGGAACCCUGGCCGAGCAACGCCGCGUGAGUGAAGAAGGUUUUCGGAUCGUAAAGCUCUGUUGUUAAGGAAGCGGUACUUAACCAGAAAGGGACGGCUAACUACGUGCCAGCAGCCGCGGUAAUAC